GAUUAACGCUAGCGGCAGGCCUAAUACAUGUAAGUCGAACGGGAUUGAUUGUAGCAAUACGGUCAUGAGAGUGGCGCACGGGUGCGUAACACGUAUGCAACCUACCUGUAACUGGGGGAUAGCCUCCCGAAAGGGAGAUUAAUACCGCAUAACAUUAUGAAGUGGCAUCACUUUAUAAUCAAUCCUCCGGGGGUUACAGAUGGGCAUGCGUCCGAUUAGCUAGUUGGUGAGGUAACGGCUCACCAAGGCUCCGAUCGGUAGGGGGUCUGAGAGGAUGAUCCCCCACACUGGUACUGAGACACGGACCAGACUCCUACGGGAGGCAGCAGUAAGGAAUAUUGGACAAUGGGCGCAAGCCUGAUCCAGCCAUGCCGCGUGAAGGAUGAAGGCCCUAUGGGUCGUAAACUUCUUUUAUACGGGAACAAACCCCCCGACGUGUCGGGGGUUGAUGGUACUGUAAGAAUAAGGGUCGGCUAACUUCGUGCCAGCAGCCGCGGUAAUAC
rnacentral:rRNA from 1 species